GAUGAACGCUAGCGGCAGGCUUAAUACAUGCAAGUUGAGGGGCAGCAUGAUAUACGCGAGUAUAUUGAUGGCGACCGGCGGACGGGUGAGUAAUAGGUAGGAGACCUACCUCAUACAGGGGGAUAGCAUAGAGAAAUCUGUGGUAAUACCCCAUGAGGUUAUAUGAAUAGAGGCAUAUAAUCAAAGCAUAAGCGAUUAUGCGGUAUGAGAGGGGCCUACUGACCAUUAGCUAGUUGGUGAGGUAAGGGCUCACCAAAGGCGAAAGAUGGUUAGGGGGUUUUGAGGAGAGAGACCCCCCCACAUUUGGAACUUGAGAGACGGUCCAGACUCCUACGGGAGGCAGCAGUAGGGAAUAUUGGGCAAUGGGCGAAAGCCUGACCCAGCCAUGCCGCGUGAAGGAAGACGGCCUUAUGGGGUUUGUAAAACUUUCUUUAACUACGCGAAUAGAGGUUAGUACGAGAUACUAAUAGGAAGGUAGUGUAGUAAAAAGCAACCGGCUAAACUCCGUGCCC
rnacentral:rRNA from 1 species